rnacentral:rRNA from 1 species
UUCCACUUUAAUUUGAUGGGAUCAGUAAGCUUUAAACAUGUUUAAAUAUGGAAUUUAAAAGGGGUAAAUAAUUAUUUUUCCAGUUUAAGAUAUUAAAUAAUAUAAGAAAAUAUAAUUUAGACAGUUUAUUAGAUUAGGUUUAUUAGGUGCCAGCAACCGCGGUCAUACCUAAUAAUUAAAUUUACAACAAUAUUAAAUAAUAUUAAUUCACGUUUUAAUAUAUGAUAAUAUAUAGUGAAAUACUAUUUCGUGUACAUUUCUUUAAAAACGUAUAAAAAAAGAAAUCCAUAGCUAAAACUAGGAUUAGAUACCCUACUAUUGUGGUUUAUUAAUUAUUUACUAAGAAGUAAUAACUAGAUUUAAAACUUAAAAGUUAUGGCGGCUAAUCAAAACAAUUAGGGGAACUUACCAUGUAAUUGAUAACCACCAAGCACAAUCAUACUUACUAUAAUAAUUUGUAUACCGUUGUCUUCAUGAACCCCCGGAGGGGGUUCAUAAAAAUAUUUACUUAUUUAAAGAUAAAUCAAGGUGCAGUCCACUUAAUAAGAAAUAAGGUGAGUUACAGUAAAAUAUUUUUUCGAAAUAUAUAAUGAAAUAAAUUAUGAAGUUGGACUUAAAAGUACUAUUUAAUAAAAUAAAUAUACUAGGAAUGUGUAUUGCUUAGUGUA